CCCCUUCUCCGACCCCAAUACGGCAGUGUCUCACUCUCUCUCUCUCUCUCUCUCUCUCUCUCUCACAGCCCAGACCAUGUUUUUAGAGAGAGAGACACACUCACACCCGCACUCAUGUUAAAGAACCCUAACCAACCCUAUCACUCCCUCCUUUCCCGUAUUUCUGCCUCGAUUCCUUCGUUUAUUCCUUCCUUAAUCCCUAAAAGAUGUCGCCUCGGGAUCCUACUCCUGCAACCAAUCUCCGCCGUCUCGACCCCAAACUAUGGCGCGCAUGCGCUGGAAACUCCGUCCACAUCCCCACUGUCCACUCCAUGGUUUACUACUUCCCCCAAGGCCAUGUGGAGCAGUCCUCCUCUCGUCCGAACUUCCUUUCCCCUCUCGUCCUGUCCAAGUCCCUCAUUCUCUGUCGGAUUACCGCCGUCGAGUUUCUUGCAGAUCCGAUCACCGACGAGGUCUUCGCGAAACUUCUUCUUCAACCUAUUGACCCCCAACUGUCAUCCGCCUUCUCCGGCUCCUCUCAGUUUAUCGAAGCUUCUAGGAACCAGCCCGACCGAAACGAGGGCGCCGGAGAAGAAGAUAAGGUCGUAUCCUUCUCUAAGAUUCUCACGCCAUCCGAUGCCAACAACGGCGGCGGGUUUUCCGUCCCGAGGUUCUGCGCCGACUCGAUCUUCCCUCCGCUCAACUACCAGGCGGAGCCGCCGGUCCAGACGUUGUCGGUCACCGACGUUCACGGCGUGGUCUGGGACUUCCGGCACAUUUAUCGUGGCACUCCGAGGCGCCACUUGCUCACUACUGGUUGGAGCAAGUUCGUGAACCACAAGAAGCUAGUCGCCGGCGACUCCGUGGUUUUCAUGAGGAACCCUGGGGGCCAGAUGUUCGUCGGGGUCCGCCGAGCCGUACGUUCAAGCAAUGGAGAUUCCAGCGGCAGAUAUAGCUUGCCGACGGGCGGAACAACGAGAGUAACGCCGGAGGAGGAUAAUGCCUGUGGCAGAGAGGGCCGGUUCUCGAGGAGCGGGAGGGGCAGGCUAUUGGCGGAGGCAGUGGCGGAGGCAGCGGAGUUGGCGGCGAAGGGGAUGCCGUUCGAGGUGGUGUAUUAUCCGAGUGCAGCGUGGUCGGAGUUUGUGGUGAAGGCAGAGGCAGUGGAAGGAGCCCUGAGCGUGUUUUGGACCACGGGCAUGAGAGUGAAGAUGGCAAUGGAGACCGAGGAUUCAUCGAGGAUGACUUGGUUUCAAGGAACGGUUUCGGGGGCUUCGGUCCCGGACAGCGGGCCUUGGCGGGGUUCUCCCUGGCGCAUGCUUCAGGUCACAUGGGAUGAACCUGGAGUCCUGCCGAAUGCCAAGGGAGUGAGUCCUUGGCAAGUUGAAUAUAUUUCACCAACAUCGCCACUCCAUACUGCAUUUCCUCCUGCAAAGAAAUUCAGAGCCCCUCAGAAUUCUGGGCUUCUAACUAAUGGAGAGGGGGACCUUUUCCCCAUCACAGGAUUUACAAAUUCAUUGUUGAAUUAUAACACUUUUCCUGCUGGCAUGCAGGGAGCCAGGCAAAAUCUAUUUAGAGAAUCAGGUUUAUCAAACUUAGGUGAAAACAAUAUUUACACUGAUAAUUCCUAUGGAAACAAUAUGGUGCCAAAGUUGAAAACUGUUUCCACCGAGCUGAAUAUUGGCAGUUCACAGUCUGAAAAGCUAUCACCUGAUAGCCAGAGUAGUGUGCUCUCCUUCGGCACGGAAUUAAUUGGAACCCAGUGCUGUAGCUCAACAAAAGUUGGUGCUGGUUGCUUUCAGUUGUUUGGUAAGAUCAUUCAUAUGAAGCAGCCUGUUGAAAGUGGUUUUGAUGACAGUGGCUGUACAGAAGAUGAUGGCAUCAAAGGGUACAAUGAAACUGAACCCUUAAACAACCCACUGGAUCUUUCUUUGACUUACACGAAACUGCUUGACAGGCUUGAUGUGCAAUGUAAGAGAGCCUCGGCUGUUGGGGCAUGCACUUUGUAGCGAUUGCAUCUAUGUCUUACAGUAAGUAGCUGUACAGGUGCUAAAAUCUUCCCUGACACUAUUGUUGAUACAAAGAAAGUCCUUUGUUCAACCAAAUGCCUUUCCUAGGAGGAGGGCCUGUGGGGCGCAAUGCAUGUUUAGCUUGGGUCAUGUCUCGCAAUGUGGUGGAGCUUUUGGCAUGUUGGAAGGGGAGGUUUGGUUGCCCACAGAGUGUAAUGUUGUGGAAGAUGAUCCCGGGUUGUUUGUUGCAUUGUAUAUGGGAGAGAAACGACUAGAACUUGAGGAUAAGGAAAGACGGUGGUGCCCUCAAGGAUCUCUUCUUCAAAACCCUAUAUCAUUGGAUGAUUGGUUAUUUUGGUUUUUCUA